rnacentral:rRNA from 1 species
GAUGAACGCUAGCGGCGUGCCUAAUACAUGCAAGUCGAGCGAGCUUGCCUAGAUGAUUUUAGUGCUUGCACUAAAUGAAACUAGAUACAAGCGAGCGGCGGACGGGUGAGUAACACGUGGGUAACCUGCCCAAGAGACUGGGAUAACACCUGGAAACAGAUGCUAAUACCGGAUAACAACACUAGACGCAUGUCUAGAGUUUGAAAGAUGGUUCUGCUAUCACUCUUGGAUGGACCUGCGGUGCAGUAGCUAGUUGGUAAGGUAACGGCUUACCAAGGCAAUGAUGCAUAGCCGAGUUGAGAGACUGAUCGGCCACAUUGGGACUGAGACACGGCCCAA